rnacentral:rRNA from 1 species
CGCAUAAGCCCACGGGUCGGCAUCGACCAGAGGGAAAAGGAGCAAUCCGCUUUGAGAUGGCCUCGCGUCCGAUUAGCUAGUUGGUGAGGUAACGGCCCACCAAGGCGACGAUCGGUAGCCGGACUGAGAGGUUGAACGGCCACAUUGGGACUGAGACACGGCCCAGACUCCUACGGGAGGCAGCAGUGGGGAAUAUUGCACAAUGGGGGAAACCCUGAUGCAGCGACGCCGCGUGGAGGAAGAAGGUCUUCGGAUUGUAAACUCCUGUUGUUGAGGAAGAUAAUGACGGUACUCAACAAGGAAGUGACGGCUAACUACGUGCCAGCAGCCGCGGUAAAACGUAGGUCACAAGCGUUGUCCGGAAUUACUGGGUGUAAAGGGAGCGCAGGCGGGAAGACAAGUUGGAAGAGAAAUCCAUGGGCUUAACCCAUGAACUGCUUUCAAAACUGUUUUUCUUGAGUAGUGCAGAGGUAGGCGGAAUUCCCGGUGUAGCGGUGGAAUGCGUAGAUAUCGGGAGGAACACCAGUGGCGAAGGCGGCCUACUGGGCACCAACUGACGCUGAGGCUCGAAAGUGUGGGUAGCAAACAGGAUUAGAUACCCUGGUAGUCCACACCGUAAACGAUGAUUACUAGGUGUUGGAGGAUUGACCCCUUCAGUGCCGCAGUUAACACAAUAAGUAAUCCACCUGGGGAGUACGACCGCAAGGUUGAAACUCAAAGGAAUUGACGGGGGCCCGCACAAGCAGUGGAGUAUGUGGUUUAAUUCGACGCAACGCGAAGAACCUUACCAAGUCUUGACAUCCUGUGACAGACGUAGAAAUACGUUCUUCCUUCGGGACACAGGGACAGGUGGUGCAUGGUUGUCGUCAGCUCGUGUCGUGAGAUGUUGGGUUAAGUCCCGCAACGAGCGCAACCCUUAUGGUCAGUUACUACGCAAGAGGACUCUGGCCAGACUGCCGUUGACAAAACGGAGGAAGGUGGGGAUGACGUCAAAUCAUCAUGCCCUUUAUGACUUGGGCUACACACGUACUACAAUGGCGUUAAACAAAGAGAAGCAAGACCGCGAGGUGGAGCAAAACUCAGAAACAACGUCCCAGUUCGGACUGCAGGCUGCAACUCGCCUGCACGAAGUCGGAAUUGCUAGUAAUCGUGGAUCAGCAUGCCACGGUGAAUACGUUCCCGGGCCUUGUACACACCGCCCGUCACACCAUGAGAGCCGGGGGGACCCGAAGUCGGUAGUCUAACCGCAAGGAGGACGCCGCCGAAGGUAAAACUGGUGAUUGGGGUGAAGUCGGAACAAGGU